UAAAUGGGGAUGAAAACAUUGUGACAUUUUUAUUUUUUGUUUUUACAAACUUAGAAAAGACAAGAUGUCUCGUGCGAGGGUACCCAGCCAACAAAAGUUGGCGGAAAAGUUGCCCACCUAAAUGACAGAGGAAGGGGCAUGCUGACAAGAAUAUACAACAUCAAAAAGAUGCUUACGAACACCGACAGCAAACCACCGUUUCUCUCUGAUAAAAGUUUGGGUCGGCCUUCAAAUAUCUACUCAAGAAAUUUCCCAACAUAGACAACCAUGCUGGGGCCCUCCAAGUGAUCAACAACAUCAAACAGGAUGUCGUGAAGUCCUUGUCUCUAUACUACUUCACUUUUGUGGACAUCAUGGACUUCAAGGAUCAUGUCGUUGAUUUGCUGACUACGAUUGAUGCCUGUCAAGUUCAUAUGGACAUU